UUAAAUAAUUGAACUUUGGCAUUCUGACUGUUCUGAUCUCCUUUAACAGGAAGUUUUAUCUCUGAAGAUCAGCAUUCAGGAUAUGAGGACGUAGAUGAGGAGCUUCUCUCAGAAAACUAUGGCGAGGUCUAUGAUGAUAUCAUACCUGCUGAAGAGAGCCCACACAUUACAACAGGUUCUUGAGUCUUAUCUGGCUGAGUAGAGGUAAAGCUUGUUCUGCUGCUGAGUUGAGCAGUGUGUGUGCAAGAGAUGGACAUCCGAGUUCUACUCAUUUUUCUAUUGACCACUGUCACUCUCGUCACAUCUGGAUGUUGUUGGAAAGGCAGUGAAUGGUAUAAAUUCCUUUAUCCUCGAAGAACUUAACUACUUUCUCCACAUCGGGCCGGGGAUUGUCAUGCACCGUGAGAAACCACGGACUCACUGCGCCAGCGUAGGGUCUUACAAUGGGUUCAAGGAUUUCAUCUCAAUACCUAAGAGCAGGCAGGGUACUGUUGUCUAACCUGUAGAGGCCUGGGCAUCUACAGGCCUCCCCAGACCAUCACUGAUCCCCCACCAAACCAGACAUGCUGAAUGAUGUUGCAUAAAGUGGCAUUUAAUUGAAAAGUAUAUAUUUACUUUUUGAUCUUACAUUCAUGUGAUUUACACUUUGCUAUCAUCCAGUCAGCCCAUUUUAGUAUUGCUAUAGAAGUACAAAUUAGUGAACUGAUUUCUUAUGAUCUCUAAAUGGGAGCUUUUGAUGUCCAUGAUUUGGUUUAAAUGUAUUUCAGCCUUGUUUGAGUAUUAUUAUUUGAGUAUAAGUGUAAUUAUUCUCUGAUUAUCAGUGUGUUUGUUUUUUUCUCC